rnacentral:lncRNA from 1 species
UCCAUUCAUAGAUUAAUGGAUUAAUGAAUUAAAGGGUUGUUUUGGGAGUGGCUGGCUUUAUGACAGGAAGAGAGGCCUGUGCCUGCCCAGUGAGCUCUCUCCCCACAAGAUGCCCUGUGCUGUCAUGAGACUCUGCAGUGUCCCUACCAGCAGGAAGGCUCUCCCCAAAUGCAGCCCCUUGACCCUGGACUUCCCAGCCUCCAGAACUUGAGAAGAGGAACAAAUGGAGGAACAUCCCAGUCAAGUGACAUUCCUAGUGACAUUCACCAGAACAGAGUCAAGCUUUGGAUCCCAUGUUCUGUGACUUCCUCUUCACCACGCUUCCUCCACACACGUAGCAGCUCAAGGGUUUCUGAUGAGUGGGGAAAUGACUUACUGCAAAGAACCACUCUUCCCCACGAGACUUCGAGAAGACCCGCUGUCACGGACUGAGUUGUGUCCUCUUAAAAUUCAGAUGUUGGAGUCCAAACCCCCAGUAACUCAGAGUGUGAACGUAUUUGAAGAGGUCUUUAAAGAGGUGAUGAAGGUCUUUGUCUCUGACAAUUUGCCUCUGUGACGUGGAUGGGACUGGAAGUCCAUUUGGAGCCCUGUCUUCUCCACCUAGGGAGAGAGACCCCAUGAGCUCGUCAAGCUCCUUCUGUGACUGAUCAGAGAUCCCACCGUGAGUCCAGCUCCUGGUCCCAUGCUCUGGAUAUAUCGGUCCCUGGCAGCGUGCAACUCCUUAGCCAAAGACGUGGCAACUGCGGGUGAAGUAUCUCUGGGCAGGAAAUCAAUGCAGAAAUGCAACUGGGGAGAGGGGGCUUGGGGGCCAGUUCCAGGGAGAUUGGAACUGCUGUGUUCUCAUCAGCAGAAGUGGCCCCUGCCCACCCCCAUCCUAAUCCCUUCUCAUGUGGGAGAAGGUCUGUGAGCCCUCUCCCUACCAGGCAGGUUCUAUGGCAAUGUGGGCACAUACCCUGGGGCAGGGGCCGAGGGACUUAACUCACUUCAUGAGCGCCAAUGGAGGAGCGAAGGGAAUGCCUGAUGAAAACAACAUUCUACCAGUAUGCACUGUUUUCUAACCUACAGAGUGCCUCUGUGUUCACUGUCCCAUUUGAGAAUUCUAAGUAGAAUUCUGAACAGGCUGGAGCAGAUUGCCCACCCCAAGGGACAGAUGUUGGCUGGUACUGUUGGUAUUCAUGGAAGAUUCCUUCUGACACUCCCUCCUUCUUUGUAAUUGCCAUGAACUGGAGCACUGGGCCAAUAUAAAUCAUCCAAGGGUGAACACGCUGCACAUGGACGGCUCCUCUUUGUUUUUGAAGGGAUUCCAUCUCUAUUUUGCCAUGUGCUCCUUCACCCCACUCCCCACCCCCGUCUUUCAUUUCUUUCUCUGGAAAAGAUACUUCAACUCACAGGACUGCGAUGUUGAAACGGACACCCAAGAGCAUCACAGAUGGGCCAGGCCUGGACCUCUCGGGACAACAUUCCUCACGACUUUUAGAUAGAAGAGAUUAGAGAUUUGGGACUGGUGGCAACUGGUAACGUUUUCAGUGUUUGGUAAACAGCCAGGGUCCGGAGCUCUGGGAACAGCCUGAUUUAGCUCUUUGUUUAAGUUUUGUGUUAGAGGCUCCCAAGAAGCUGAUGCAGGGGAAAGAAAUUAACAACCAUGGCUCAUUCACAGCCAGGCAGCCAAAUGGACAGCUCUAUAAGACUCAAGCCGACAGCGGAGAGAGUGCAACCAAACAGCCUUGGCCCAGCUUUCAGAGGAGAACGUUAUUCACCCCAACUGCUCUGCAUCUGCCUGGAUGUCUGCCAAGAUCUGUGAGCAUUACAGCGUUGGUAUGCUUUGGGUGAGGCCUGUGGCUAUGGCAACAAGUUGGGAGCAACCCGGUCCCUGGGAAUGAGAACAGUGUCUAAAAUCAGGCAGGCGAGGGGCAGGGAGGAGAGGUAAAGGUUGGACUUGCCUGAAGAUGGAGCCGUUUUAUUGUUGUGGGUAAAGCUGCUACCAUUAGGGGCUGUUUACAGAGUGGGUGCAGCUCAAGCUGGGAGCAUGUUAGACUCAGCGACUACGAUCAACCUAUUGACUUGUUCCCAUGAGACAGAGUAAAUUAACUGUUGCAGUACUGGUCAUGUACCACCAACCUCCUGUGAACCAGCCCUCAGUGAAACAUUUAUGUGAAAGGCCAUGGUGUUCCCAUAAGAGGGUGCAUGUUCUCUCCCUUGACUAACUCUUCAGUAUGCCUCAUUCUCACGCGCUGGUGUGCAGGAAGGAGUCCAACAUGCCCCAUUGACAGUCAUGCCCUGUAUGUGGAAAGUCUUCAGGUAGAGCACUGGGCUCAGGUUUGAAGAUGUGAGUUCUAAUCCUAGCAAGGCCAUUACCUCCCAGUGACCUCAUGUCUCGAUUUCCUCAACCACAAAACAAAGGCAUUGGUGAGCUGACCUCUAAGGCCUCUCCAGUUCUCACCUUCUGUGUCUCUACAGACUGGAGACUAGAAGAUUAUGGGCACUUUUAUUGAGUCUUCAUUUUGUUUCCAUUUCUUUGUAGUCAUCAGCUGGAGUUGAGGACAAGUUUUAACAAUAGAUAGGUUUCUUUUUGUCUCUUUUUAAAAAAUUUUAUUUAAAAUAAAUGCCAAGUGUAGUGGCUCAUACCUGUAAUCCCAGCACUUUGGGGAGGCCAAGGUGGGAGGAUUGCUUUUGAGUUUGAGACCAGCCUGGGCAACGUGGUGAGACCCUGUUUGUACAAAAAAUUUUAAAUUAGCCAGGCAUGGUGGCGUGUGCCUAUAGUCCUAGCUACUCUGGAGGUAGAGGCAGGAGGAUCCCUUGAACCUGGGAGGUUGAGGCCACAGUGAGCUGUGAUUGUGCUAUUGAACUCUAGCCUGGGCAACAGAGCAAGACCCUGUCUCUUAAAAAAGACUAUUUUUUAAGAACACUUUUAGGUUCACAGCGAAAUUUGGAGGAAACUUGGCAUAUGUCAUAUGCCCCCUGCUCCCAUGCAUGCACAGCCUCUACCAUUAGCAAUGUCCCCACUCAAAUGGUACCUUUGUUGUAAUCAACAACCCUGUACUGACACAUCAUCAUCACCCAAACUCCAUAGUUCACAUUAGGUUUCACUCUUGGUGUGGUGUACAUUCCAUGGGCUUGAACAACUGUAUAAUGACAUUAUCCACCACUGCAGGAUCAUACAGAGUAGUCUCACUGCCCUAAAACUACUCUGUGCUCCACCUGUUUGUCCCUUCUUUCACUCUAAACUCCUGGCAACAACUGACCUUUUUACUGCCUCGAUAGCUUUGCCUUCUUCGGAAUGUCAUGUAGUUGAAAUCAUACAUCAUGAAGCCUUUUCAGAUUGGCUUCAUAUAGGUUUCCUUCCUUCCUUCCUCCCACCACCUUCCUUUCUUUCUGUAUUCCUAACUCUUGGAUGUAUUUUCCCCAGCAUCAUGACUUGAUGGGACUUUUGCUAAGAUAGGCAAUCAUAGAAAGUCAUAAAUCUCUUGUCAGCCUUAUUGGCUCACCUCCGAGAUGGUUCCAACACUCUUUAAGGCCCACUUUUCCAAUCCACAGAUUCCCCAGCAGAAGUCCAAGCUGCUGAGCCUCACAUCAUCUUUUGCACUAGUAAUCUUUACCACUACUUCACUGUAGCAUUUGAAAAUUUUCAUAUGAAGCCAUAGUUCUGUGUCUUUUUUUUUUUUUUUUUUUUUUUGGAGACGGAGUCUUAACCUGUUGCCCAGGCUGGAGUGCAGUGGCACAGUCUUAGCUCACUGCAAGCUCCGCCUCACGGGUUCAAGUGAUUCUUGCCUCAGCCUCCCAAGUAGCUGGGAUUACAGGCGCGCCACCAUGCCCAGCUAAAUUUGUUGGCAUUUUUAGUAGAGAUGGGGUUUCACCAUGUUGGCCAGGCUGGUCUCAAACUCCUUACCUCAGGUGAUCUGCCUGCCUCAGCCUCCCAAAGUGCUGGGAUUAAAGGUGUGAGCCACCGCACCUGGCCUGAAGCCAUAGUUCUUAACCUCAGUUGUGCAAUAGAAUUAUCUGGGGAAUUUAAAAAUUAGAAAAAACCCAUGCCCUGAAGAUUGUGAUCUAACUGGUCUUGCGUAGCGCCUGGGCAUUGGUAUUUUUUAAAUGUUUCCCAACUGAUACUAAUGUGGCCAUUCUGCAAGCCACAGUUGAAAGGCUUAUUCAAGCAUCCUGUUGCUGAAUGCAUGUCGUCCUUACCACAUGACUCUGGAGGUUUUCUUGUAUUCUGAUGUGGCUGCCCUGUUGAGGCCUGCCCCUUAGAGUGGAGAUUAUCCCCUGCAGUAGGCUGCCUGGAAUAUGAUCCCCAGUGAUCCCUGCUUCCUGGUAUUCAGGCCCUGGUGUGAUCCCUUUCCCUUGAAGCCUGGGCUGGAUUAGUGACUUGCUUCUAACCAACAGCAUAUGGCAAAAAUAAAUGUUUAUUGUUUUAAA